rnacentral:rRNA from 1 species
UGAGUUUGAUCCUGGCUCAGAACGAACGCUGGCGGCAGGCUUAACACAUGCAAGUCGAGCGCCCCGCAAGGGGAGCGGCAGACGGGUGAGUAACGCGUGGGAACGUACCCUUUACUACGGAAUAACGCAUGGAAACGUGUGCUAAUACCGUAUGUGCCCUUCGGGGGAAAGAUUUAUCGGUAAAGGAUCGGCCCGCGUUGGAUUAGCUAGUUGGUGGGGUAAAGGCCUACCAAGGCGACGAUCCAUAGCUGGUCUGAGAGGAUGAUCAGCCACAUUGGGACUGAGACACGGCCCAAACUCCUACGGGAGGCAGCAGUGGGGAAUAUUGGACAAUGGGCGCAAGCCUGAUCCAGCCAUGCCGCGUGAGUGAUGAAGGCCUUAGGGUUGUAAAGCUCUUUCACCGGAGAAGAUAAUGACGGUAUCCGGAGAAGAAGCCCCGGC